UGGUGUCCGACCCACGGCACGGGCCUGU
rnacentral:piRNA from 1 species